UAGCACAUACGCUGUCAUGGUUUGUGCUGAGUCUAACUGUGUGUUGUGCUGAGUUUUUUCUGUGUGCAGGUGGGUGUGCCUGGAGAGCAGCUGCUGCCUAUCUGCUCAUCAGUGGUCAGGGGAUUUAAGGAGCGUCGGGACAACUCAUCAGUGCCGGAUGAUACUCAACAUUGGGAGCUUCUCCUCCUCCAACCAAACCUCCAACAUCUGAAAAUAGACUCACCGGAUUUGAACCCUGCCUGCCAGCCCGUCGCUCGCCCCUGACCGCCUGCUCUCCUACCCCCACCUGCCAACCUGGACAACCCGAACUCUGGUGCUCAGCUCCCAGCCACACCUGACACUCACUUGACCAGCUCAGCCAGCCAUGACUUGUCUCCACCCUCUCUAUGCCUUUACCAACAACCAGGAAACCAACUCUACCAGAACCACUCGAACUCAGACCAUCAUCUUCACCUCCCAUUGUACAUAAAAAUAAACCCUUUUUACUUAC